UUAUUCCUACGGGAGGCAGCAGUGGGGGAUAUUGCACAAUGGGGGGAACCCUGAUGCAGCGACGCCGCGUGGGUGAAGGAGUAUUUCGGUAUGUAAAGCCCUAUCGGCAGGGAAGAAGAAAGACGGUACCUGACUAAGAAGCCCCGGCUAACUACGUGCCAGCAGCCGCGGUAAUACGUAGGGGGCGAGCGUUAUCCGGAAUUACUGGGUGUAAAGGGUGUGUAGGCGGGGCUGCAAGU
rnacentral:rRNA from 1 species